UACGGAGGGAGCUAGCGUUGUUCGGAAUUACUGGGCGUAAAGCGCACGUAGGCGGCCAACUAAGUCAGACGUGAAAUCCCUCGGCUUAACCGGGGAACUGCAUCUGAUACUGGAUGGCUUGAGUUCGGGAGAGGGAUGCGGAAUUCCAGGUGUAGCGGUGAAAUGCGUAGAUAUCUGGAGGAACACCGGUGGCGAAGGCGGCAUCCUGGACCGACACUGACGCUGAGGAGCGAAAGCCAGGGGAGCAAACGGG
rnacentral:rRNA from 1 species